CCUACGGGCGGCAGCAGUGGGGAAUAUUGCACAAUGGGGGAAACCCUGAUGCAGCGACGCCGCGUGAGUGAAGAAGUAAUUCGUUAUGUAAAGCUCUAUCAGCAGGGAAGAAAAUGACGGUACCUGAGUAAGAAGCCACGGCUCACUACGUGCCAGCAGCCGCGGUAAUACGUCGGGGGGACGCGGUAACCGGAUUUACUGGGUGUAAAGGGGGCGUAGACGGCAGUGCAAGUAUGGAGUGAAAGGUGCGGGCUCAACCCCCGGACUGCUGUGGAAACUGUACGUCUGGAGUGCAGGAGAGGUAAGUGGAAUGCCUGGUGUAGCGGUGAAAUGCGUAGAUAUUAGGAGGAACACCAGUGGCGAAGGCGGCUUACUGGACUGUAACUGACGUUGAGGCUCGAAAGCGUGGGGAGCGAACAGGAUUAGAUACCCUAGUAGUC
rnacentral:rRNA from 1 species